rnacentral:sRNA from 1 species
AGCGUUGAAGCAUAAUAGCGUACCGGGAUGUCUUGUUAUGCAGAGCUUUCAGUAGGGGUUGUGCAGUAACCUCAAACCGGAGUAGGCUGCAAAGCCAAAAGAAAAUGCUCAA